AUACGGAGGAUCCGAGCGUUAUCCGGAUUUAUUGGGUUUAAAGGGUGCGCAGGCGGCCAUUUAAGUCAGCGGUUAAAUCGUGGGGCUCAACCCCAUUCUGCCGUUGAUACUGGGUGGCUUGAUUGCGGUCGAGGUUGGCGGAAUUCGUUGUGUAGCGGUGAAAUGCAUAGAUAUGACGAAGAACACCGAUUGCGUAGGCAGCUGACCAGACCGCAAAUGACGCUCGUGCACGAAAGUGCGGGGAUCGAACAGGAUUAGAUACCCUGGUAGUCCGCACAGUAAACGAUGAAUACUUGUUUUCGGCGAUAUAAUGUCGGAGGCAAAGCGAAAGCGAUAAGUAUUCCACCUGGGGAGUACGCCGGCAACGGUGAAACUCAAAUGAAUUGGCGGGG
rnacentral:rRNA from 1 species